AGGACGAACGCUGGCGGCGUGCUUAACACAUGCAAGUCGAACGGUGAGCCAGGGCUUGCCUUGGGGAUCAGUGGCGAACGGGUGAGUAACACGUGGGCAACCUGCCCCAGACUCUGGGAUAACUCCGGGAAACCGGGGCUAAUACCGGAUACGACCUCCUUGGGCAUCCUUGGAGGUGGAAAGUUUUUCGGUCUGGGAUGGGCCCGCGGCCUAUCAGCUUGUUGGUGGGGUAAUGGCCUACCAAGGCGACGACGGGUA
rnacentral:rRNA from 1 species